rnacentral:ribozyme from 1 species
CCACCACGUCGUCGACAUUGAUUCAUGUUCUCCCACCACUCUGCUUGAUGAUGGGUCAGCAGCCCGUUUCCAUU